AUUGAACGCUGGCGGCAUGCUUUACACAUGCAAGUCGAACGGUAACAGGCCGCAAGGUGCUGACGAGUGGCGAACGGGUGAGUAAUGCAUCGGAACGUGCCCAGUCGUGGGGGAUAACGCAGCGAAAGCUGUGCUAAUACCGCAUACGAUCUAUGGAUGAAAGCGGGGGACCGUAAGGCCUCGCGCGAUUGGAGCGGCCGAUGUCAGAUUAGGGAGUUGGUGGGGUAAAGGCCUACCAAGCCGACGAUCUGUAGCUGGUCUGAGAGGACGACCAGCCACACUGGGACUGAGACACGGCCCAGACUCCUACGGGAGGCAGCAGUGGGGAAUUUUGGACAAUGGGCGCAAGCCUGAUCCAGCAAUGCCGCGUGCAGGAAGAAGGCCUUCGGGUUGUAAACUGCUUUUGUACGGAACGAAACGGUCUGGGUUAAUACCCUGGGCUAAUGACGGUACCGUAAGAAUAAGCACCGGCUAACUACGUGCCAGCCGCCGCGGUAA
rnacentral:rRNA from 1 species